AAAAAUCGUCUCGGCGUUUCAAAACACGUUUCACAAAACCAACACCCCUAUUGUACGCCUUUUGAAUUAAAAUUGUUAUUGUUAUUAUUAUUAUCAACGGGUUUUUAACGAGCCGGUCGUAUCGCCGACCAAUCAGCAGUGACUAUAAUAUAGAUGCGUAAUAAUAGUAUUUUUAUACUCACGGUUAGUUAUAAAUCAGACGCGUGUGUAUGUAUACAUGUAAUAUGUGCG